AACGCGAAGAACCUUACCCAGGCUCGAAAUGUAGAGGGCGAUAGCAGAGAUGUUAUUUUCCGUAAGGACCUCUAUAUAGGUGCUGCAUGGCUGUCGUCAGCUCGUGCCGUGAGGUGUUGGGUUAAGUCCCGCAACGAGCGCAACCCUUAUCAUUAGUUGCCAACAUGAAAGAUGGGAACUCUAAUGAGACUGCCUAGGUUAACUAGGAGGAAGGUGAGGAUGACGUCAAGUCCGCAUGGCCUUUAUGUCUGGGGCUACACACGUGCUACAAUGGUCGGUACAGAAGGCAGCGAAGCCGUAAGGCGUUAGCAAAUCCGCCAAAGCCGAUCUCAGUUCAGAUUGUGGUCUGCAACUCGACCACAUGAAGAUGGAAUUGCUAGUAAUGACGUGUCAGCAACAACGUCGUGAAUACGUUCCCGGGCCUUGUA
rnacentral:rRNA from 1 species